rnacentral:rRNA from 1 species
UGGGGAAUAUUGCACAAUGGGGGAAACCCUGAUGCAGCGACGCCGCGUGAGCGAAGAAGGUUUUCGAAUCGUAAAUCCCUGUCCUAUGAGAAGAUAAUGACGGUAUCAUAGGAGGAAGCCCCGGCUAAAUACGUGCCAGCAGCCGCGGUAAUACGUAUGGGGCGAGCGUUGGUCGGAAUUAUUGGGCGUAAAGGGUACGUAGGCGGGCGAUUAAGUUAGGUGUGAAAGCGUGAGGCUUAACCUCAUUAAGCACUUGAAACUGAUAGACUUGAGUGAAGGAGAGGAAAGUGGAAUUCCCAGUGUAGCGGUGAAAUGCGUAGAUAUUGGGAGAAACACCAGUAGCGAAGACGGCUUUCUGGACUGCAACUGACACUGAGGCACGAAAGCGUGGGUAGCAAACAGG